rnacentral:tRNA from 1 species
GUGGGUGUAGCUCAGUUGGUUAGAGCGCCAGGUUGUGGCCCUGGAGGUCGUGGGUUCAAAUCCCAUCACUCACC